AGGCGCGCUGUGACAGAUUUACCAUAGCUGGCCAUGGCGGUGCCCUUGACUGCCCCUGCCCCUUCUCCUCCGCAACACAAAGGCAAUUAUCACCUUGUCUCACGUCAGACAGCACUCCACUUUUUCAGCCCAGGUCCGCCCUCAACAUAACAACACGCGGCAGAUUAAUCGCCAUAUCAACAGGCACAGGCGGUUCCCAGCACCUCCUGCUGGACGUAAGCUAAGGAGAUGACAUCAUGUCGAGUUAUUAAUGCUGACAUUAGUGGAGGCAGGAGAGGGAUCAACACGACACCUCUGGUGGAGGAUAGAGCCCAGACCCUUGCUCUGCAGGCUGUUAAACUAAUGCUGUGAUACAGCUGUGAGGGACAGUCACUUCACUUCCUGAUGACUGCUUACGACCACGACUACCGACCUACUACAGUGGACGACCUACUCUGCCUCCCGGCAACAACCCCCAAACAGAAGCCUGUUGUGCUCCUCCACGACAAGGACACAGAUUACCACCUCGACCCAGGACGGCCGAUGAUGAGGGACUCAUCUCAGAGGACUGUGAGACUUGGAGGGCUGCGAUGAGAAAGGGAGCCCAUCCAUGAAGCUGGUCAGAAGAGAGUCUCUCUUCUUCACUUCAUCAAGUCAUCUGAUAUCCUUCUUACGGUUUCACUGUCAGGGAGAGGCUGACGUGGCUGGUUUCCUCUGGUGCUCUGCUGCCACCAUGUGGUCAUAGGAGUAGCUGCACCUCCAAGACGGGUGGACCAAUAAGAGGCCAUUGGAUCCUCUUGUGAUGGUGUCGUCCUGUCACCCAGACACACCUCGUACGCAGCAUCAACCCCCCCACCCCACCUUCCUGACAUUUCAUCGAGUCACCCCUGUCACAGUCGUCACACGACCCGAC